AGUAUAGUGCCUGAGAAAAGGAUUAUCGUGAUAGGAUAAAUCAUGUAAAAACAACUUUACCUUUACUA
rnacentral:tRNA from 1 species